UGGGGAAUAUUGCGCAAUGGGGGCAACCCUGACGCAGCAAUACCGCGUGAGUGAAGAAGGUUUUCGGAUCGUAAAGCUCUGUUAUUGGGGAAGAAAAAAAGACGGUACCCAAGAAGAAAGUCCCGGCUAACUACGUGCCAGCAGCCGCGGUAAUACGUAGGGGACAAGCGUUGUCCGGAUUUACUGGGCGUAAAGGGCACUCAGGCGGUUUUUUAAGUCAGAUGUGAAAGGUACCGGCUCAACCGGUGACAUGCAUUUGAAACUGAAAGACUUGAGUAUUGGAGAGGCAAGUGGAAUUCCUAGUGUAGCGGUGAAAUGCGUAGAUAUUAGGAGGAACACCGGUGGCGAAGGCGGCUUGCUGGAAAAAUACUGACGCUGAGGUGCGAAAGCGUGGGGAGCAAACA
rnacentral:rRNA from 1 species